rnacentral:tRNA from 1 species
GUUAAAAUGGCUGAUGAAAAGCAAUAAAUUGUAAAUUUAUGAAUGAACAACGUUCUUUUGACA